rnacentral:rRNA from 1 species
AUUGAACGCUGGCGGCAGGCCUAACACAUGCAAGUCGAGCGGAUGAAGGGAGCUUGCUCCUGGAUUCAGCGGCGGACGGGUGAGUAAUGCCUAGGAAUCUGCCUGGUAGUGGGGGAUAACGUCCGGAAACGGGCGCUAAUACCGCAUACGUCCUGAGGGAGAAAGUGGGGGAUCUUCGGACCUCACGCUAUCAGAUGAGCCUAGGUCGGAUUAGCUAGUUGGUGGGGUAAAGGCCUACCAAGGCGACGAUCCGUAACUGGUCUGAGAGGAUGAUCAGUCACACUGGAACUGAGACACGGUCCAGACUCCCACGGGAGGCAGCAGUGGGGAAUAUUGGUCAAUGGGCGAAAGCCUGAUCCAGCCAUGCCGCGUGUGUGAAGAAGGUCUUCGGAUUGUAAAGCACUUUAAGUUGGGAGGAAGGGCAGUAAGUUAAUACCUUGCUGUUUUGACGUUACCAACAGAAUAAGCACCGGCUAACUUCGUG